UGUCUGCGAGUGAGUGAGAGUAUGUGUGUCUGUCAGUCUGUGACAGUGUGUUUGUGAGUCAGUGAGUGUGUGUCUGUCUGUCAGUGAGUGUGUGUGUAGCUGUCAGUGUGUCUGUGGGCAAGUGUAUGUGGGUAUGUAUGUCAGACUGUGACAGUGUGUCUGUAAGUCAAUGUGUCUGUGAGUGGGCGUGUGUCUGUGAAUGAGUGAGUGCGUGUGUCUGUCUGUCAGUGAAUGUGUGUGUCAGUAUGUGUCUGUCACUAAAUGUGUGUGUGUGUGUGUUGAGUGAUUGUGUGUCUGUCACUGUGUGUCUGAGUGAAUGUGUGUGUCUGUCAGUGAAUGUGUAUAUGUCUGUCAGUGUGUGUCUGUGAGUGAAUGUGUGUCUGAGUGAUUAUAUUUGUAUGUCAGUGAGUGUGUGUCUCUGUCCUUGUGUCUGUGAGUGAGUGAGUGAG